UACGUAGGCAGCGAGCGUUGUUCGGAGUUACUGGGCGUAAAGGGUGUGUAGGCGGUUUUCUAAGUUUGGUGUGAAAUCUCCCGGCUCAACCGGGAGGGUGCGCCGAAAACUGGGGGACUAGAGUACGGGAUGGGAGAGUAGAAUUCCUGGUGUAGCGGUGAAAUGCGUAGAUAUCAGGAGGAAUACCGGUGGUGUAGACGGCUCUCUGGACCGCCACUGACGCUGAGACGCGAAAGCGUGGGGAGCGAACAGG
rnacentral:rRNA from 1 species